rnacentral:tRNA from 2 species
GCGCCCGUAGCUCAGCCGGAUAGAGUGUCUGACUACGAAUCAGAAGGUCGUAGGUUCGAAUCCUGCCGGGCGCGCCA